rnacentral:tRNA from 1 species
GCCCCCGUAGCGCAAUGGUAGCGCGUAAGACUUCUAGCUCAAAAGCGAUCUUAAGGUUGCGGGUUCGAGCCCCGCCGGGGGCU